rnacentral:rRNA from 1 species
AUUGCCCUAGUAACGGCGAGUGAAGCGGCAACAGCUCAAAUUUGAAAUCUGGCUCCUUUGGGGUCCGAGUUGUAAUUUGCAGAGGGUGCUUUGGCGUUGGCGGCGGUCUAAGUUCCUUGGAACAGGACAUCGCAGAGGGUGAGAAUCCCGUAUGUGGUCGCCUGCCUUCGCCGUGUAAAGCCCCUUCGACGAGUCGAGUUGUUUGGGAAUGCAGCUCUAAAUGGGAGGUAAAUUUCUUCUAAAGCUAAAUACCGGCCAGAGACCGAUAGCGCACAAGUAGAGUGAUCGAAAGAUGAAAAGCACUUUGGAAAGAGAGUCAAACAGCACGUGAAAUCGUUAAAAGGGAAGCGCUUGCAGCCAGACUUGCCUGUAGUUGCUCACCCGGGCUCCUGCCCGGGGCACUCUUCUGCAGGCAGGCCAGCAUCAGUUUGGGCGGUCGGAUAAAGGCCUCUGACACGUACUUCCUUUCGGGGUUGACAUAUAGGGGAGGCGCAAUGCGACCAGCCUGGACUGAGGUCCGCGCAUCUGCUAGGAUGCUGGCGUAAUGGCUGUAAGCGGCCCGUCUUGAAACACGGAUUGAGGAGUCUAACAUCUAUGCGAGUGUUUGGGUGUCAAGCCCGAGCGCGUAAUGAAAGUGAACGGAGGUGGGAACCCCUCGGGGCGCACCAUCGACCGAUCCUGAUGUCUUCGGAUGGAUUUGAGUAAGAGCAUAGCUGUUGGGACCCGAAAGAUGGUGAACUAUGCUUGAAUAGGGUGAAGCCAGAGGAAACUCUGGUGGAGGCUCGCAGCGGUUCUGACGUGCAAAUCGAUCGUCAAAUUUGGGCAUAGGGGCGAAAGACUAAUCGAACUAUCUAGUAGCUGGU